GUGGGGAAUAUUGCACAAUGGGGGAAACCCUGAUGCAGCAACGCCGCGUGAGUGAUGAAGGCCUUCGGGUUGUAAAGCUCUGUCUUCAGGGACGAUAAUGACGGUACCUGAGGAGGAAGCCACGGCUAACUACGUGCCAGCAGCCGCGGUAAUACGUAGGUGGCAAGCGUUGUCCGGAUUUACUGGGCGUAAAGGGAGCGUAGGCGGAUACUUAAGUGGGAUGUGAAAUACCUGGGCUUAACUUGGGUGCUGCAUUCCAAACUGGGUGUCUAGAGUGUUGGAGAGGAAAGUGGAAUUCCUAGUGUAGCGGUGAAAUGCGUAGAGAUUAGGAAGAACACCAGUGGCGAAGGCGAUUCUCUGGACUGUAACUGACGCUGAGGCUCGAAAGCGUGGGGAGCAAACAGGAUUAGAUACCCUGGUAGUCC
rnacentral:rRNA from 1 species